UACAGAGGGUGCGAGCGUUUGUCCGGAAUCACUGGGCGUAAAGGGCGCGUAGGCGGCUUGAUAAGGUUGCGGUGAAAGCCCGGGGCUCAACCCCGGGUCGGCCGUGGCAACUGUCGAGCUGGAGCACUGUAGAGGCAGGUGGAAUUCCGGGUGUAGCGGUGGAAUGCGUAGAGAUCCGGAAGAACACCGGUGGCGAAGGCGGGUUAGCUGGGCAGUUGCUGGACACUGAGGCGCGACAGCGUGGGGAGCAAACAGGG
rnacentral:rRNA from 1 species